AGCCUACCAUGCAGUCGAGCGGCAGCACGGGUACUUGUACCUGGUGGCGAGCGGCGGACGGGUGAGUAAUGCCUAGGAAUCUGCCUAGUAGUGGGGGAUAACGUCCGGAAACGGGCGCUAAUACCGCAUACGUCCUACGGGAGAAAGUGGGGGAUCUUCGGACCUCACGCUAUUAGAUGAGCCUAGGUCGGAUUAGCUAGUUGGUGAGGUAAUGGCUCACCAAGGCGACGAUCCGUAACUGGUCUGAGAGGAUGAUCAGUCACACUGGAACUGAGACACGGUCCAGACUCCUACGGGAGGCAGCAGUGGGGAAUAUUGGACAAUGGGCGAAAGCCUGAUCCAGCCAUGCCGCGUGUGUGAAGAAGGUCUUCGGAUUGUAAAGCACUUUAAGUUGGGAGGAAGGGCAGUUACCUAAUACGUGAUUGUUUUGACGUUACCGACAGAAUAAGCACCGGCUAACUCUGUGCCAGCAGCCGCGGUAAUACAGAGGGUGCAAGCGUUAAUCGGAAUUACUGGGCGUAAAGCGCGCGUAGGUGGUUUGUUAAGUUGGAUGUGAAAGCCCCGGGCUCAACCUGGGAACUGCAUCCAAAACUGGCAAGCUAGAGUAUGGUAGAGGGUGGUGGAAUUUCCUGUGUAGCGGUGAAAUGCGUAGAUAUAGGAAGGAACACCAGUGGCGAAGGCGACCACCUGGACUGAUACUGACACUGAGGUGCGAAAGCGUGGG
rnacentral:rRNA from 1 species